AUUGAACGCUGGCGGCAGGCCUAACACAUGCAAGUCGACCUUAGUGGCGAACGGGUGAGUAACACGUGGGUAACCUGCCCAUCAGAAGGGGAUAACACUUAGAAACAGGUGCUAAUACCGGAUACUGAUGGAUGGAACAGCGGGGCAUUAGCUAGUUGGUGAGGUAACGGCUCACCAAGGCCACGAUGCAUAGCCGGCCUGAGAGGGUGACCGGCCACAUUGGGACUGAGACACGGUCCAAACUCCUACGGGAGGCAGCAGGAGGGAAUAUUCGGCAAUGGACGCAAGCCUGACCGAGCAAUGCCGCGUGAGUGAAGAAGGUUUUCGGAUUGUAAAACUCUGUUGUUAGAGAAGCGGUAUCCACCCAGAAAGCCACGGCUAACUCCGUGCCAGCAGCCGCGGUAAUAC
rnacentral:rRNA from 1 species